rnacentral:SRP_RNA from 1 species
GCUUGGUGGCAAAUACCAGUAACCUCAGGUAUCAAGGAGGUUGAGGCUGGCAGAUCUCUUGAGCUCAGGAGUUCUGAGCUGCAGUGGGUUAAGCCAAUCAGGUGUCUGCAUUAAAUUCAGCAUCAAUAUGGUGAGCCUGGGAGUGGGACGCCAGUAGGUUUCAUAAGGAAGAUCAAUCCAGUACAGGUCAGAGAUGGAGCAGGUUAAAACUCCCAUGUGGAUUAAUAGUGGGAUUAGGCCCAUGAGUAGCCCCUACAUUUCUAGCCUGAGUAAGGCCCAGUGUUUA